rnacentral:rRNA from 1 species
CCCUUAGAUGUUCUGGGCCGCACGCGCGCUACACUGACGAAUUCAACGAGAUUAUAACCUUUGCUGGGAGGCAUGGGUAAUCUUGUGAACGUUCGUCGUGAUGGGGAUAGAUUAUUGCAAUUGUUAAUCUUCAACGAGGAAUUCCUAGUAAACGCAAGUCAUCAGCUUGCAUUGAUUACGUCCCUGCCCUUUGUGCACACCGCCCGUCGCACCUACCGAUUGAAUGGUCCGGUGAAUUCUUCGGACUGCGGCUUUGACUCGAUUUCGGUCGAGGCGUUGCUGCGGGAAGUUGAUUAAACCUUACCAUUUAGAGGAAGGUGAAGUCGUAACA